AUGGGUGUUGGCUCCAACAAUUCGCAUUGGUCUCAAACCAAUGACAUGCACUUUGAUGACCAUGAGUUCGAGGUGGACGAGGAUGGUGAGGGCAUUGUCGACGCACCGAAAGGAAGAGCGGGCAAUUACACCAAUGCCAAAGACAUCUUAUUAUGCAAUACUUGGUUGCAAGUGUCGAGGGAUCCAUCCGUUGGAGGUGAUCAAAGUAGUGACGCUUAUUGA
rnacentral:rRNA from 1 species